ACAAACAGAUGUUUUAUUUUUUUUAGAAAGCUUUAAUAAUGCGUGCAAGCUGGAUUUUAUCGAGUAAUUUAGAUGUGACUGUUAUCUUUUUGUGUCUUUACAUCUUUACAGAGCGAUCAGCAGCGGGUAUUCAGGAAUGAGCAGACUAAAAGUUUUCUGAACACAACAGAAGGAGAUAGACACUUACAGGCUCAGCGAUCCAAAGAGUUGAACAUUGGAAGAAAGGCUCUGGUUCAGGUACGGAGAGCUGCUUUGGAGGAACUUCUACAUCAAGAAUUCUUACAAUACCAGAGGGAGCUGAGCCUCAUGGGGAAGGCAUUUUAUCAGCAGAGGAUUUAAUUCAUUUGAAAAUCUUUCACCAGUUUUUAAUGUGCAACUACCUGAAGCCCAUGUUACUUGAAUACAUAACUAAAAUAUUUAUUUUUCACUUUAAUUAAAACAAUGCAUUAAACUUUUUAUAUCUUACACUGCACACUGAAUGCUUUUUUUUAUUAAUGAAAGAACAUACCCUCUGAUGAUAGGAUAGUUAACAUUUUAAGUAAAAUAUCCAUCCAUUCAUUUUCUUCAGCUUGUUUUAUGAAGUAUCUUUUGUGGGGAUUUGUAAUCUGCUGUAAUAGCAACAGGAGCAAAAAGGAAAUGCAUGGGGCACACUCAUAUAUUCAUUCACACAGAGCCAGCUUCAAGUUGCACUGCAACUUAUCUUUACACCUAUAAGGGAAGUUAAAGAUUUCAACAUGCAAACUCCACACAGAAGGAACCACAGAUGGAAAAUGAACCAGUGCAUUAGGGCCAUAAAGUCACCACACCCUUAAGGAAAACCAUUAAAAAAAAAUAAACAUACUGUGAUCUGCUCGUUGGAUGUGAGCCGUGCAAGUAAGAAUUUUACUGUACUCAGUACCUGUAACAAUAAACUUUAUUUGUUUGUUUCAGUCUAAUCAAGAAGCAGAAUUACAAACAUGUGGAUGGAAUCAUUUAGAUUUUAAAUCAUAAAGGAAUAUACCCUAAAGUGGUAUUUUUAUAUGUUACUCACCCCAUGUAGUUUGUAGUGGAAAAAGUAAGUAAGAAAGACAUUAACAAUAAGACCCAAUAGUGACCAACACUGGAAACAACCAAAUGUUCUGUUACAACUUGUUAAACCUGCCAAUUUGAUUAAGACUUGCAGUUUAGCCCCAUCUAGUAGGAAUAUCUUCUUGUCAUAUGAUGUAAUCAGGCAGUUAGUUUUAGUGUCAUGAAGGCUACUGUUCAUGUGCGUUGAAGCGCAGCAGUCGCAAUCCGCUGUCAUCUGCCUUUUCUCUAUGUGCGUGUGAUAGCAUCAUCUGUAUGUAUUACUUUACUUUAAAUUUACCUUUCCUUUUAUACACAUUUGCAGAUGGAAUAAUGUAUAUAUAAUGGAACAGUAAUUUAUAUUUGAACAAUAAGUUUGUUGUUUAAUAUAAAGCCACUUAGCACUUGGUAUCUUUUUUCUCUAUUUUAGGUUGACAUAUUUAAUUCCAAUAAACCUGUGCACAAACAAUGGUUUAUAGAGUUUGCCUGUCAAAGCAUGUAAUCUGCGUAGAGGCCAGGAGAGCAAACAAUCUGAAAAACAUCCAUGGAAAACAGAGAAAAUAAUUUUGUAAUUCGUUUCUCAUAAUUCAUAUGUUCGUUAUCCAUUCAUGUGCUCAAAAUGUGCAAAAUGCAUGCAUUGUUUGCUAAAUUAUUAAUACCGGAAAACCCAGUGCACAAUAUAAACAGGAAAGGCACAUUCCUAUAGUACAGUGCUUUUGAAUUGAAAAUCUACCUCUUCACUUCAUUCAUUGGUUAACAAUCCUUUUCCCCCCAAUGAAUGCCAUUGUUUGCCAUUGUCCAUUGUUGGUCCAAGAAAAACUAAGAUUAAAAUUUUCUCAGUCACCAGUACAACUACAUAGGAUAAUUAACAAAAAAAAAAUAUAAUUUUUUGGUUGAGCAUUCCUUUAAGGUAAACACUGAUUAUUUUCAUAGAUAUGCAUUCACAGUUACCUGGAUUUAUUGUCACACACACGGGCAUAGGGAGUGCCUCACUGAUUUAUGUCAAGGGAAACAAAGGGAAAAGUUUAUUAAGGUGACACUAGACUAACCUCUACUCCGUUUCCUUUUCUGCAAAGGAGGAACACCUGACAGGAGAGCUUUCACACCACCUCCAAGAAAUUGAGAGUAGCCCCGUCCCUUCCAUCCACAUCGCUAUUUAAAGAACUCACCAACUGGCAGUUGGCAUUCCUUUUGGAAUCAGUUACCAACAAGGUCAGACCUCAACACAGCGGCUAACAUUGUGAUGGCUGCAAAAGCCUUUGUAACCAUUUGGGCUGUUUUUUUUUUUAUCUUGACUUAGACAUUAAAAGGAGCAUCCCUUGGGACCUCAAACCCCUGUUAUUCUCUUUAUUUGACAAUAUCUAAGAAUGUUUCAUUUCUUUUAUUGUAGUAUGCCCCUAUUCUUUUUCAAAUCAUACUCUUUUAAGCACAGCAGUAUUGUAGCCUUUGUUUUUUUGGUUUGAUAUACUUUACUAAUUCCAGUGGGGAAAUUGUCUUUUCACAUGGCCUUUAUUGUUAAUGUCCUCCAUUCUUAUUUUCUGCCACAACAAAUGAAACACAAGGAAAACAUUUUUAUUUGCUGGUUAUUUCCUGGACUACAUGAACAUAUUCAUUUUUAUUGUGCUUUCAGUAUAUCCAUUUCCUUAUCUGGAACUUGUGAAAUGUUUUCAGGAAGCUGCUAGGCCAAGAAAAAUUUUGCAUCAAAAAUGUAUAUAUAUA